rnacentral:lncRNA from 1 species
GCGGCCGCGCGCCGCGGGGGGGAGGAGACGGUCUGGAGUCCCCCGCUGCGCAGGGGAUGGGGAGACGGAGGACUGCAGCGCCCCUUGGGGCUUCUGAUGCGCCCAGGUAAUCUCACCUGGCCGCCAGCCUCCCGCAGGAGGAACAGACACGCUGGUUCCACACCGAGCCUGUUAACAGCUCGACUUCCAAUAUUUGGGCCAUGUGUGUAUUAAUGAAAUGAUUGCAUCCGAUUACAUCUUUUAUUCAGAGAACAAGAAUGGCCCAUGAAUUCCGUCCUCCAGCAUUACUGCUUUUGUGGUGAAGUCACUAAUUAAGUUUACUCCGUUUCAGGCAGAGGUGGGAUCGCUGUUCACUAAGGUAAGAAAAUAAAUCGAAUAUGUUACUGCUGAUAAUAAAAUUAUAGUUUUUGCUGCCUAGCAACUAGAGGAUAGAAACUUCAAUCAAAAAUGUAACUUCAUUGUUUUUUGUUUGCUUGCUUUGCUCAAGACAGUGCUGUCCUGGCACUCUCUCU